rnacentral:rRNA from 1 species
CCUACGGGGUGCAGCAGUGGGGAAUAUUGCACAAUGGGGGAAACCCUGAUGCAGCAACGCCGCGUGAAGGAAGACGGUUUUCGGAUUGUAAACUUCUAUCAAUAGGGAAGAAAGAAAUGACGGUACCUAAAUAAGAAGCCCCGGCUAACUACGUGCCAGCAGCCGCGGUAAUACGUAGGGGGCAAGCGUUAUCCGGAAUUACUGGGUGUAAAGGGAGAGUAGGCGGCAAGGUAAGCGAUAUGUGAAAGCCUUAAGCUUAACUAAAGGAUUGCAUAACGAACUAUCUAGCUAGAGUACAGGAGAGGAAAGCGGAAUUCCUAGUGGAGCGGUGAAAUGCGUAGAUAUUAGGAAGAACACCAGUGGCGAAGGCGGCUUUCUGGACAGUAACUGACGUUGAGGCUCGAAAGCGUGGGGAGCAAACAGGAUUAGAUACCCUUGUAGUC